GGCACAACGUGUUGCAAGCUUGGCUCUAAAAGCUCCUUAGUCCUGAAGGCUUGUGUUUGGCUGUCAGAAUGAAAUCUCUUGUCACUUGAAGCUUUGGAAUGCUCUUCAUCUGCUUCUUGAUUACAGCUAUACACAGAAGCAGCUAACGAACUGUAACUCCGUGUACCCUUGGCUUGUCCAGAUUUCUUGGCACUCAGAAGCAAUUCUGCCUUUAUUUCCUCUAUCCUUUGUCGGUCCUCUUCACUUAAGUCCAACACAGCUUCCUGAGAUCGGUUGGCCAGCUUUAGUUUCACCCAUGCUCGUGCUUUCCUCUCCUCUUCAUCAGAACUCCUCAGAAUUGGCGUUGCAGGCAUUAGAGGUGAUCCAUUUCUCAGAAGGCUUUUGACACGGGCAGCUAGAGAGUCUGCACUGCUACUGCC
rnacentral:lncRNA from 1 species